UAACAGGGGAAGAAGUACUGUGGGACUUCUGCAGAUAAUUAAAAGAAACAGUGUUUAACAACGUGGACAAAGUCCUGACCUAAGGCAUGAUGAACUGUACAAAUGCUUUUCGUGCAGCUAAAAGUUUAUAGCAUUCUGGAGUGUUGUUUAUGUUACUAUAAAAAAAAGGUGAGAAAAUAUAUUCAGUUACUUUCUGUUUCCCCCCCAUUGAGCAGAUGGCAAUUCAUAGCUCAAAUUGUUUUUUAAGCCAUUUCACAUUUUAUUAAUAAGUACAAUAUGCUUUUAAACAGCAAACCACACUCAGGCAUUUCUGCAGAGGUUACCCAAUUGCUCAAGUAGCUCAGAAAGAAAAGAGCUUAUAAAUUUUGUUGUUACGAGGGUGAAUGUUUUUCAGUUACUUCUCACGUGGUAGAAAACACAGCUAAAAACUCUCCUACUUCUCGUUUCAAAUUAUUUCUAAUUUUGGAGGCCACAAAUAAUACAGUGCAGUUACUCUAACUGUCUAGUUUUGAGAUUGUUUCCACCAGCUCUGUUCUUGGUAGAAGAAAACACGCUUUUUAAAGCGCUGAAUAUUCUUUAUAUUUUAAGUGAACAAUAAUAUGUAGAUUGCCGGGGGGGGAGCAAAGAAAUAUUCAGUGGCUCUAUUUUGGGAAGCUUUGGUGCUGUAGGAUGAAAACUGUUCGUACUGCAGGAAUUGGAAAAUUCUCACUGUUGCAUCAGUGGUUUUAUCGAAACCUGUUAAGUUAUAAGAGUGCAGAAGUAAGGAAGACAGGUUUUUUUAAUUAUUAAUUGACACUCAUUUUUAGCCGGCAUGUGGUGGCAGGUCCUGCAAACAAACCUUAGAGUACACAAGACACAGAUUAGAGCUGAAAAUUUUGGAACUCUUCUAAAUCUUUGUAACAUUGCAGAAAGGAAGUGUAAUAUUAAACUGACAAAUCGAACAUACAUAUUUUUUUCAAUGUAAUUCACAGUUUCUUUCUAUUAUUUUUCACUACCCGUGGAGAUAAAGCACAACAAAUUCCUCAAAGAAAGGGAAAUACAUUUCCAGAUACCUUUUCCGAUUAAAUAAUAUAUCUGUCUUAUACAUAUGUACUGCCAAAUAUCUAACCAUUCCUUUUCUACACCGCGUCUACAGCCAGGAGUGUUGGCUGUGUGAGUGUUACAGAAGUGACUCUUAGCACAUGUGGUGCGUGCCUAGCUAUAUAUAUGCAGGAAACUAUAUAUAAUAAUUAGCGUCUGCAUAUAUUACAUUGUCAUUAUAAUUUUACAUAAUCUGUUAUAUAAUCUCAAGGCUGGUAUGAGAUGAGCAAGCGUGGCAAUGUUAGGAAUUGUUGGGAAAAUGACUUCAAUCACUGCUUGUAAAUCCAGCGACCAGCCCGGCACUUAGGGAAGCCACCAGAUGAGAGCAGGGACGCCGGCCACCUGCCUGUUGUCACCCGCCCGCGGGGGCACACCGAAGCACCGUGUCACUGCGGGGGCACCGGCAGCCCACAGCGGGGCCCGGAGUGGCUCGGGGAGCCCCCCUCAGCCCCGCGAUGCGGAGGGGCACAGAGGGGUGCACGGAGCAGCAUCCCCCACGCAGCACUGGCAGGGAGCCGAGCGCCGCAGGGCCGGGCCUGUGCCCCUCGGCGGUGUGGGGGCACGGAAGUGGAAACACUCGAGGUACGGUGGGGUGGGGGAGACAGGGAGCAGCAGCCCAGUGCCGGGAAGGGAGGAAGAAAAUGAAGCAGAACUAGGGAAGUGGCAAAGUGGCGAGCGCUGAUUUAUCGCAGGAGCCUCUGCUCGUUUCCGGAGAUCGAAAGGCGCCCCAGCGACCCGGCACUCGGUGCCCGGUACGGAGUGGGGCUCGGGUGUGCAGCGUGCUGCCCAGCUUGCCAUGUGCCUGCCGGCAGCGGCACUGAAACACCCCCAGCGCCCGAACGGGGGGAAGCAGCAGAAAGAAAGGGGGGGCACGCGUAACCCAAGGACGCGGGAAGACAACGGAGCGAGUUGCAAGCAGAUAAAUGAAACGCCAAGUAAAUCAGAUCAAAUCGCCAGGCAUUCAUUCCCAAUAAACAGCCAGCUUUAUAAUUUCCAGGUGUUGGGGAAAGCCGCUGUCUUAUAGUUUAUAAAUCCCUGCUGGGGGGAGGGAGGGGGAGAAUCUGUGGAGGUGGAUGAAAUAUCAAAUCACCAGCCUCUAUGUAGAUUUAUGAUUGCAUAAGAGGCUUGAUCAUUUCCAUAUAUUGAAAUGUGCUGUCCUUCCUGCGACUGCCCAGCCCUUGGAGGGAGAGAGACGCUCGAUUCCGCCUUGAUCAAUGCUGACUGUGAAGCAAGGAGGAGGAGAAGGGGGGGACCAGCCUGGCACCAGAUGGAGCAGGGUCUAGGGAAAGGUCAAGGACCCUGCCUGCAGUCUCCCCGCCUGCGCUGUGGUGCUGCGCUGUGACGUAGAUUUUGAUUCGAAGUCUUCGUGGUGGUGUGGAGCUAAGGCAUUGUUUGAGGCCUCUCUUCUUUCUGGGCUCAGGCAAAACUCUUUCUGCGAGGAAAUGUGGUCAGGCGCAUACAUGUGCACACACCCCGCACGCCGGACACGCGAGCGUGACGCCAGCACACACACAUAUGUGUUUGGAGCAGCGAUGCUGUCAGCUGGCUUCCAAAGAUCAAAGUGAGCUCUUCCCAAUUACCAUCUCCUACACAUUAAUGAUUCUUUAACCUACUGCACAGCCAUAUCUUAAAGAAGGAUUUAGUCUUGUAAAAUAAAUGCUGGCUACACUAGAUUAAACACGAUAACUGCACUCCAAGGGUUAAUAAAUUUAGAAUUAACAGAUCAUCCCAGCUUGAUACAGCUACUAUAGAUGAUUUAAUAUGCAGCCUAAGCAGGUUGACAGUCAGCUCACAGAUGCAGAUAAGAUCAAACAGUCUCUUGAUUCAAUAGAUUGAAUGGUUGUACUGAGUGUCUGGAAGGUGAGUGACAGUACGUAUGUGGCAGGGGUUCUGGUACAGAAGGGCUUCGAUUCCCAACUGCUGUGCGGUGCACUGGUUUUCCUUUUCUAGCAGUCAACCUUUUCCAGCAAUCAAAACUGGAGUUAACAUGAAAAAAAUGGCUCAAAUAUAGUUCAGGAGAGUUAUUUGAAGUUUUCAGUAAUGAAAAGCUCAGAGCUUUAAUAGUAAUCACCAUUGCUGUUACUAGUCUGCAGUUCAGAUUCCUUCUCUGUGGACAAGGCCAUUGCCACCCACUCUGUCCCACGCGGAGGUGGAUCUGUCUGCAGCCUGUGCCCAUCCGUCCACGCUAAGGCUCCUUCCCUGUGAGACCUAAAUGCACAGAAAGAAGGGACCUCAGAGGCAGAGUGGCAACACCUCGCCCAAGUCAUCCUCUGGUGCGUGGCGAGCCCAACAUUGUCCUGAUGCGAUCUGCUGUCCAGAGGCUUCAGCUGUCGGAAACCGAGACGGGUGCGGAUGGAGCCAAUUCCCUGCUCACUCUUUCAGCUGUCUUGCUUUUCUGGCUUAAAAGUUAAUAUCUGUAGUAACUCUUCCGCGGUUUAUGUUUUCCUUCUCACUCUCCUGUUUAAAUAGGAACGUAAAACAGUUUUUGUGGAGGCUGGCGAGCAAUGAGAUGACAGAGUGAUCUCUAACAAUUUUUAUUAUUUGAUCAAGAAUAAAAGCUCCGCCUGACCCAUUAGAUUUUGCCGUAUGAAUACAUUUCCAGGCAAUUUUAAAAAUGUAUAUUACGUAUUCAAUAGACCAUCACAGGUGUGAAUUGUGGCUUACUCUGUUAUAUGGGGCUACCACCAUACUGAUAGCAAUACCUGUGUUAAAUCUGCUGCGCGUGUGAAUGCGUAUGAAUUAUAUUGCUUACCUGGGUGUUUGCACAAAUACCCAAAUGCUCAGUCCAUGGUCUUGACGAAUGCCCUGCGAAACGUUAGUGCAGUGAGCAGCACUGUUUUGAAUUUAAGAACAGAGCAAACCCCAAAUCCACAAAAGAUUGUGUUUUCUCUCUGUGAUUUUUAAAACAGCCUCAUGUACUUUUGCAAGCAUUUAACCAUGAAUUAAACUUUCAUUUUAACAUGUUU